AACGAACGCUGGCGGCAUGCCUAACACAUGCAAGUCGAACGAGACCUUCGGGUCUAGUGGCGCACGGGUGCGUAACGCGUGGGAACCUGCCCUUAGGUUCGGAAUAACUCCCCGAAAGGGGUGCUAAUACCGGAUAAUGUCUUCGGACCAAAGAUUUAUCGCCUUUGGAUGGGCCCGCGUUGGAUUAGCUAGUUGGUAGGGUAAAAGCCUACCAAGGCGACGAUCCAUAGCUGGUCUGAGAGGAUGAUCAGCCACACUGGGACUGAGACACGGCCCCGACUCCUACGGGAGGCAGUAGUGGGGAAUAUUGGACAAUGGGAGAAAGCCUGAUCCAGCAAUGCCGCGUUAGUGAUGAAGGCCUUAGGGUUGUAAAGCUCUUUUACCCGGGAUGAUAAUGACAGUACCGUGAGAAUAAGCUCCGGCUAACUCCGUG
rnacentral:rRNA from 1 species